CCUACGGGGGGCAGCAGUGGGGAAUAUUGCACAAUGGGCGCAAGCCUGAUGCAGCCAUGCCGCGUGUAUGAAGAAGGCCUUCGGGUUGUAAAGUACUUUCAGCGAGGAGGAAGGCAUUAAGGUUAAUAACCUUGGUGAUUGACGUUACUCGCAGAAGAAGCACCGGCUAACUCCGUGCCAGCAGCCGCGGUAAUACGGAGGGUGCAAGCGUUAAUCGGAAUUACUGGGCGUAAAGCGCACGCAGGCGGUCUGUCAAGUCGGAUGUGAAAUCCCCGGGCUCAACCUGGGAACUGCAUUCGAAACUGGCAGGCUAGAGUCUUGUAGAGGGGGGUAGAAUUCCAGGUGUAGCGGUGAAAUGCGUAGAGAUCUGGAGGAAUACCGGUGGCGAAGGCGGCCCCCUGGACAAAGACUGACGCUCAGGUGCGAAAGCGUGGGGAGCAAACAGGAUUAGAUACCCUCGUAGUC
rnacentral:rRNA from 1 species